rnacentral:rRNA from 1 species
GUGUCAGCAGCCGCGGUAAUACGGAGGGGGCUAGCGUUGUUCGGAUUUACUGGGCGUAAAGCGCACGUAGGCGGAUCAGUCAGUCAGAGGUGAAAGCCCUGGGCUCAACCCGGGAACUGCCUUUGAUACUGCUGAUCUUGAAUCCGGGAGAGGUGAGCGGAAUUCCAAGUGUAGAGGUGAAAUUCGUAGAUAUUUGGAAGAACACCGGUGGCGAAGGCGGCUCACUGGACCGGUAUUGACGCUGAGGUGCGAAAGCGUGGGGAGCGAACAGGAUUAGAUACCCUGGUAGUCCACGCCGUAAACGAUGAGUGCUAGUUGUCGGGUGUUUGGCAUUCGGUGACGUAGCUAACGCGUUAAGCACUCCGCCUGGGGAGUACGGCCGCAAGGUUAAAACUUAAAUGAAUUGGCGGGG